CCUACGGGAGGCAGCAGUAGGGAAUCUUCCGCAAUGGACAAAAGUCUGCCGGAGCGACGCCGCGUGAGCGAAGAAGGUCUUCGGAUCGUAAAGCUCUGUUGUUAGGGAAGAAGAAGUACCGUUCGAAUAGGGCGGUACGGUGACGGUACCUAACGAGAAAGCCCCGGCUAACUACGUGCCAGCAGCCGCGGUAAUACGUAGGGGGCGAGCGUUGUCCGGAAUUAUUGGGCGUAAAGCGCGCGCAGGCGGUCCCUUAAGUCUGAUGUGAAAGCCCACGGCUCAACCGUGGAGGGCCAUUGGAAACUGGGGGACUUGAGUGCAGAAGAGGAGAGCGGAAUUCCACGUGUAGCGGUGAAAUGCGUAGAGAUGUGGAGGAACACCAGUGGCGAAGGCGGCUCUCUGGUCUGUAACUGACGCUGAGGCGCGAAAGCGUGGGGAGCAAACAGGAUUAGAUACCCUGGUAGUCCACGCCGUAAACGAUGAGUGCUAAGUGUUAGAGGGUCAAACCCUUUAGUGCUGUAGCUAACGCGUUAAGCACUCCGCCUGGGGAGACGCCCGCCAAGGCU
rnacentral:rRNA from 1 species